rnacentral:rRNA from 1 species
GGAAUUUUCCGCAAUGGGCGAAAGCCUGACGGAGCAACGCCGCGUGAGGGAUGAAGGCCUCUGGGCUGUAAACCUCUUUUAUCAAGGAAGAAGAUCUGGCGGUACUUGAUGAAUAAGCCACGGCUAAUUCCGUGCCAGCAGCCGCGGUAAUACGGGAGUGGCAAGCGUUAUCCGGAAUUAUUGGGCGUAAAGCGUCCGCAGGCGGUCUUUUAAGUCUGCUGUUAAAGCGUGGAGCUUAACUCCAUUUCGGCAGUGGAAACUGGAAGACUAGAGUGUGGUAGGGGCAGAGGGAAUUCCCGGUGUAGCGGUGAAAUGCGUAGAUACCGGGAAGAACACCAGUGGCGAAGGCGCUCUGCUGGGCCAUAACUGACGCUCAUGGACGAAAGCCAGGGGAGCGAAAGGGAUUAGAUACCCCAGUAGUC